GCCCUCGUAGCUCAGUGGUAGAGCGCAUCACUAGUAUAUCAUGAACCAUGAUGAUAAUGAUGAGGUCGUCAGUUCAAUUCUGGCCGAGGGCA